rnacentral:lncRNA from 10 species
GACUUUGAGCAUACGAUUCAUGUGGGGUUUGAUGCAGUCACCGGGGAAUUCACUGGAAUUCCAGAGCAAUGGGCACGAUUACUCCAAACUUCCAACAUAACAAAAUUGGAACAGAAGAAGAACCCACAAGCUGUUCUAGAUGUUCUCAAAUUCUAUGAUUCCAAAGAAACAGUCAACAACCAGAAAUACAUGAGCUUUACAUCAGGAGAUAAAAGUGCACAUGGAUACAUAGCAGCCCAUCCUUCGGUAAGUGAAAAAUUGAAAACUGUUUCACAUGAUUGGUGUUUCCAAAGAUUUAAGAGAAUAUAACUGCACAGAUCCAGUUUUUAGAUAUAAAGUCUUUUAAAAACAAUUUUAAGGUAUAAUUCAGUUUAUAUAAAAUUCACCUAUUUUCAGGUAAACAGUUCAAUGAGUUUUGGUAAAUGUAUAUACCUAUGCUACCAUCACCACAAUUGAGUUUUAGAACAAGUCCAUCACCCCAGUAAAAUCCUUCAUACCUACUUACAGUUAACUCCACCCACCCCACCCUAGUCACAGGCAAGAACUAAUAUGGAAUCUGCC